AGCGUAUAUUAAAGUUGUUGCAGUUAAAAAACUCGUAGUUGAAUUUCGGGAUCAAUUAGUCGGUCGUGCCUCUGGUACGUACUGGUUUUAUUGGUUCCUCCCUUCUGACGAAACAUGAUGUCAUUAAUUUGGUGUCGUGGAGAAUCAGGACUGUUACCUUGAAAAAAUUAGAGUGUUUAUAGCAGGCUAACGCUUGAAUACAUUAGCAUGGAAUAAUGAAAUAGGACGUUCGACCCUAUUUUGUUGGUUUCUAGGAUCGACGUAAUGAUUAAUAGGGAUAGUUGGGGGCAUUAGUAUUCAAUUGUCAGAGGUGAAAUUCUUGGAUUUAUUGAAGACUAACUACUGCGAAAGCAUUUGCCAAGGAUGUUUUCAUUAAUCAAGAACGAAAGUUAGGGGAUCGAAGACGAUCAGAUACCGUCGUAGUCUUAACCAUAAACUAUGCCGACUAGGGAUCGGAUGAUGUUAAUUUUUUAAUGACUCAUUC
rnacentral:rRNA from 1 species